rnacentral:rRNA from 1 species
CAGGCCUAACACAUGCAAGUCGAGCGGAAACGGCAGUAUUGAAGCUUCGGUGGAUUUACUGGACGUCGAGCGGCGGACGGGUGAGUAACGGCUGGGAACCUGCCCUGACGAGGGGGAUAACUGUUGGAAACGACGGCUAAUACCGCAUAAUGUCUUGAUUCGUUAGAGUCAGGACCAAAGGUGGCCUCUACAUGUAAGCUAUCGCGUUGGGAUGGGCCCAGUUAGGAUUAGCUAGUUGGUAAGGUAAUGGCUUACCAAGGCAACGAUCCUUAGCUGGUUUGAGAGGAUGAUCAGCCACACUGGGACUGAGACACGGCCCAGACUCCUACGGGAGGCAGCAGUGGGGAAUAUUGCACAAUGGGGGAGACCCUGAUGCAGCCAUGCCGCGUGUGUGAAGAAGGCCUUCGGGUUGUAAAGCACUUUCAGCAGUGAGGAAGGUCGUGUACUUAAUACGUGCACGGCUUGACGUUAGCUGCAGAAGAAGCACCGGCUAACUCCGUGCCAGCAGCCGCGGUAAUACGGAGGGUGCGAGCGUUAAUCGGAAUUACUGGGCGUAAAGCGCAUGCAGGCGGUUUGUUAAGUCAGAUGUGAAAGCCCGGGGCUCAACCUCGGAACCGCAUUUGAAACUGGCAGGCUAGAGUCUUGUAGA